CCCUUAGAUGUUCUGGGCAGCACGCGCGCUACAAUGGUCUUCGCAAACGGAUGCAUUCUCGAAGGAGAAUGCCAAUCUUGGAAUCUAUGCCUUGGUCGGGACAGUUGCUUGCAAUUUUUCGACUCGAACCAGGAAUUCCUUGUAAUCGUGAUACAUCACAUCACGAUGAAUACGUCCCUGCCCUUUGUACACACCGCCCGUCGCUCCUACCGAUCGAAGAGUUAGGUGAAUUGUUUUGAUCGAUAAGAUUUGACUAUGGUCAACUCUCGUUGUGAAAUUCUGUGAAUCUGACUGUUUAGAGGAAGGAAAAGUCGUAACA
rnacentral:rRNA from 1 species